ACAAGCGGUGGAGCAUGUGGUUAAUCGAAGCAACGCGAAGAACCUUACCAGGUCUUGACCAUCCCUGACAACCGAGAGAUCGGGCCGUUCCCCCUUCGGGGGGACAGGGUGACAGGUGGCGCAUGGUUGUCGUCAGCUCGUGUCGUGAGAUGUUGGGUUAAGUCCCGCAACGAGCGCAACCCUCGACCUUAGUUGCCAGCAUUCAGUUGGGCACUCUAAGGUGACUGCCGGCUAAAAGUCGGAGGAAGGUGGGGAUGACGUCAAGUCAUCAUGGUCCUUAUGUCCAGGGCUACACACGUGCUACAAUGGUAGUUACAGAGGGCAGCGAGGCCGCAAGGCGGAGCUAAUCUCAGAAAAGCUGCCACAGUUCGGAUCGAGGUCUGCAACUCGGCCUCAUGAAGCUGGAAUCGCUAGUAAUCGCGUAACAGCAUGACGCGGUGAAUACGUUCCCGGGCCUU
rnacentral:rRNA from 1 species